GCCGGCGUAGCUCAGUUGGGAGAGCGACAGACUGAAGCGCGGGGUAGCCCGUGGCUGCAAUCUGCAGGUCACUAGUUCGAUCCUGGUCGACGGCA